GUCUACGGCCAUACCACGUUGAAAGCACCAGUUCUCGUCCAAUCACUGAAGUUAAGCAACGUCGGGAUGUGUGACCGCCUGGGAACACCGAGUGCUGUAGACU
rnacentral:rRNA from 1 species